GAUCCUGGCUCAGGAUGAACGCUGGCGGCGUGCCUAACACAUGCAAGUCGAACGAAGCAAUUGAAGGAAGUUUUCGGAUGGAAUUCGAUUGACUGAGUGGCGGACGGGUGAGUAACGCGUGGAUAACCUGCCUCACACUGGGGGAUAACAGUUAGAAAUGACUGCUAAUACCGCAUAAGCGCACAGUACCGCAUGGUACAGUGUGAAAAACUCCGGUGGUGUGAGAUGGAUCCGCG
rnacentral:rRNA from 1 species